GCGCUGUGGAGGUGGAGGAAUGGAUCAAUGACCAGAAUGAGAGUACAAGCAAUUUGUUGACCAAAAAAAGACAAAGUCAUCGGCUAAAAGGAUUUCAAAUGAAAGAACAAGCCAAAUGAGCAAGGAUGAGCGAGGGGAUCGCUUGUCUUGGGAGGAGGAGAGUUACUUUCCCGGCUGCCGAUUUAAAUGAUGUCCAGUGGCUCAGCAGCAACAACAACAACAGCACCAAGUGGCACUUGCAGCUCUGUUUGCUUAAUGAAACAACAGCGACACACUCACACUCACACACAUACUCGCACACAAAGUAACACCAAGAGACUGUGUGAAACACCAACAAAAACACCUUGGGCAAAUAAUGCAGACAGGACGGCCACAGUCGACUUGGUCAUAACUGUGCCACCUGACACCUGACCUAGAGGGUGCUGGC
rnacentral:sRNA from 1 species